GCCUCGUCAAUGUAGGAAGGGGGAGUAGCGUUUUUAUAGGAACGCUAACGCCUCCCACAAAUACAGGCCUUCGGCCUUUCAUAUUGUAAUCGUGAAAUACCUUGUGAUUGGAAUUAAGACGUGUUGUGUCGAAACCGACGUAGGGGUAGGCCUGUAAAAAGGGGGCAAAAAGAAAUACAGGAAAACACCCUUAUAGCAACAUGAUUACAACAUGACAAUAUAAGAUAUGCUUGUGUUACAGUACACCCAGGUAUAAGAGGGGUUAAUACCGAUGAAGAUGUUCCCUUUCCGAAUAGAGAAGCAGCAAACGAAAGCUCCAAUUAGC